rnacentral:misc_RNA from 1 species
UUUCCGUAGGUGAACCUGCGGAAGGAUCAUUAAUGAAUAACUGAUGUGCGAGGCCUGUCGCUGAUCCAUAAGGUCGUGCACGGCCGAGUGUCCUCACAAACAUCCAUCUUCCCCUUAAGUGCACCCCCGCGAGGAUCCCCCUUUGACUCGUUCGGAGGGGGGCUAAGAAUAUACAACAUACAUUGUAUAAAUUGCAAAAAGUAUUUUCUGUUUUUGCGAUUCCGUAAUGAAAACAACUUAUAAAAACGGCUCCCUUGGCACUCGCACCGAUGAAGAACC